rnacentral:rRNA from 2 species
ACGGAAGGCAGCAGUGGGGAAUAUUGGACAAUGGGGGCAACCCUGAUCCAGCGACGCCGCGUGAGUGAAGAAGUAUUUCGGUAUGUAAAGCUCUAUCAGCAGGGACGAUAAUGACGGUACCUGACUAAGAAGCCCCGGCUAACUACGUGCCAGCAGCCGCGGUAAUACGUAGGGGGCAAGCGUUAUCCGGAUUUACUGGGUGUAAAGGGAGCGUAGGUGGUUUUGUAAGUCAGAAGUGAAAUGCCGGGGCUCAACCCCGGAGCUGCUUUUGAAACUGCAGAACUAGAGUGCAGGAGAGGUAAGUGGAAUUCCUAGUGUAGCGGUGAAAUGCGUAGAUAUUAGGAGGAACACCAGUGGCGAAGGCGGCUUACUGGACUGUAACUGACACUGAGGCUCGAAAGCGUGGGGAGCAAACAGGAUUAGAUACCCUGGUA